GGGAACAUACCCUUUUCUACGGAAUAGCUCUGGGAAACUGGAAUUAAUACCGUAUACGCCCUACGGGGGAAAGAUUUAUCGGGGAAGGAUUGGCCCGCGUUGGAUUAGCUAGUUGGUGGGGUAAAGGCCUACCAAGGCGACGAUCCAUAGCUGGUCUGAGAGGAUGAUCAGCCACAUUGGGGCUGAGACACGGCCCAAACUCCUACGGGAGGCAGCAGUGGGGAAUAUUGGACAAUGGGCGCAAGCCUGAUCCAGCCAUGCCGCGUGAGUGAUGAAGGCCUUAGGGUUGUAAAGCUCUUUCACCGAUGAAGAUAAUGACGGUAGUCGGAGAAGAAGCCCCGGCUAACUUCGUGCCAGCAGCCGCGGUAAUACGAAGGGGGCUAGCGUUGUUCGGAAUUACUGGGCGUAAAGCGCACGUAGGCGGAUAUUUAAGUCAGGGGUGAAAUCCCAGAGCUCAACUCUGGAACUGCCUUUGAUACUGGGUAUCUUGAGUAUGGAAGAGGUAAGUGGAAUUGCGAGU
rnacentral:rRNA from 1 species